rnacentral:rRNA from 1 species
AUGAACGUUGGCGGCGUGUCUAAGGCAUGCAAGUUGAGCGACGCGUUCCCGCAAGGGAAUGGCGAGCGGCAGACGGGUGCGUAACACAUUGGUAAUCUACCUUCGAGACGGGGAUAGCUUCCCGAAAGGGAAAUUAAUACCCGAUGGUCAUGGGGGGACACAUGUCAUUCCCAUGUAAAGAUUUAUUACUCGAAGAGGAGCCUAUGGCCUAUCAGCUAGUUGGCGGGGUAAAAGCCCACCAAGGCUAUGACGGGUAGGGGACGUGAGAGCGUGAUCCCCCUCACUGGGACUGAGACACUGCCCAGACUCCUACGGGAGGCUGCAGUCAAGAAUAUUCCGCAAUGCGCGAAAGCGUGACGGAGCGACGCCGCGUGCAGGAUGAAGCCCUUCGGGGUGUAAACUGCUUUUACGAGGGAAGAAUUUGUGACGGUACCUCGUGAAUAAGAGGUUGCUAACUCUGU